AUUUUUUAUGCAUUCCUCAGUUGAUAGGCAUUUAGGUUGUUUCCAAGAUCUGGCUAUUACAAAAUGUGCUGGUAUAGACGUGGGUGCACAUAUAUUACUGUGGUAUGAUGUUUUUAAUUCUUUUGGGAAGAUACCCAGAGGGGCAACAGCUGGGUUGAAUGGGACCUUUAAUCCUAGUUUCUUGAGGAACCUCCAUACUGAUUUCCAUAGUGGUUGCACCAGUCUGCGUUCCCACCAACAGUGGAGAAGGGUUUCCUUUUUUCCCUCUCCAGCAUUUGUUAUUACUUGAUUUCUUUUUUUUUUUUUUUUUUUUUUUUUGUCUUUUUCCUUUUUUAUCUGUACCGGGGAUUGAACUCAUGACUGCCCGCUUACAAGGCAGGCACUUGUGCCACUGAGCUAAAUGCCCAGCCCCAUUACUUGAUUUCUUGAUAGUAGGCAUUCUUUUGGGGGGUGAGGUGAAAUCUCAGUGUUGUUUUAAUUUGCAUCUCUCCCAGUUUAGUUGAACAUUUUUUCAGGUAUUUAUUUGCUGUUUUUAUUUCUUCAUCUGAGAAAUGUAUAUGCAUCUCAGGUAUCUAUUUUUGCACUGGGUCUUUAAAUCUGGGAGGAUUGAUUUUUUUUAACUUCUUUAUAUGUUUUCAAUAGUAAUCCUUUGAGGAAAAGCUGGCAAACAUUUUCUCCCAAGUUGUGGAUUGUCUUGUCAUUCUGUUGGUGGUUUCUCUUGCUGUGCAAAAGCUUUUCAGUAGGAAGAGAUCCCAGUUAUUGUUUGUGACAGUUCCAUGCAACUGGGGUUUGUUCAUAAAGUCUUCGCCUACACCAGUGUCAUCAAGAGUUUUGCCUACUCUAUCUUCCAGCAGACUUAAUGUUUCUGUUUUAAUAUUAAGAUCUUUGAUCCAUUCUGAUUUUAGCUUAGUACAUGGUGAAAAAUAUGCAUCCAGUUUUAAUCUUUGGCAUAUGUAGAGUCAGUUUUUCCAGCACCAUUUAUUCAAGGUCAUACAAUCUUAUGUUAUCUUCCAGUUAAUGUGUUUGGCACCUUUAUUAAAGAUAAAGUGACUUAGUGUAUCUGGGGCUGUUUCUGCAUCUUCUAAUCUGUUCCAUUGAUCUUUGGGUCUGUUUUUUUUUUUGUCUGCACCACACUGUUUUGUUUUUUAAAUCACAGUAGCUUUAUAAUAUAAUUUCAGCUGAAGGAUUGUGAUGCCCCCUGUUUUGCCCAGGAUUGCCUUUGCUAUUCUAGGUCUCUUCUGGUUUCAGAUGAAUUUUAGGAUUGUUUUCUCUAAUUCUGUGAGAUAUGCUAUUGAAAUUUUGAUUGAUAUUGCAUUGAAUCUGUAUAACAGUUUUCAAAGUAUAACCUUUUUCACUAUAUUGGUUUUUUUUCUGCCCAAGAUCAUGGGAUAUUGUAGGGAGCUGUGGGACCGCCCCACGGCUGUCCCCCCACCUCUCCCUCAUAUGGGCACAUAAUGCACCUACAUCAACCAUGAUCUUCUCCUGCUCACAUCAUGUACAUGGAACUGACGAUGACCCAUCAGGGAUCACCCUGCAGCCUCUUCCUGUCCCACCAGCCCACCCUUGCCCUAUAAAAGCUGCGACCACUUCUUAAAUAAAUGAGACUUGAUUGGACUUUCUCAACUUGUCUCCAUCUCUCUUUGUCUCUUGCCCUGUCUUGUUAACCCCCGUUCCUCCUCCAGGUGGUUACCCCAUGGAUUGACCCGGGGGCCAGGUCAAGUGGUGCCCAGCGUGGGGCACCUGGCAUGGAGGAUCCAACGAGGGAGCCGUCCAGGGACAUGCGUGUAAAAGUGAAACUAAGAGUUUUGUGACCAACACUAUGCGGGAGCCUGCCACGCCGCUCGAGUCACGGAAAAAUGUUGCUUCUGUAUUAACCAAUCCAGCAUCGUAUGUGGAAAACUUCAAAAAAUUGAAGAGUGGCUCAAAUUGAGAAGACAACAGAUGGCCUCUAACCCAUUCUCCACACUCUGGGGAGGGCUCUUCCCCUACCUAGCACCCCUCCUGGGGCCCCUCGCUGCCUUGUUGCUUCUCCUUUCUGUGGAUCCUUGUAUUUUUCAGAGGAUCAUGACAUUUGUUAAUAGCCAGAUAGACACGUUUAUAGCAAAGCCCAUUUAAGUACACUAUCACCAGCUGGAGUUGGCAGAUCAAUAAACCUACUGGGAAAGAUUUCCCAUGAGUGGCCCAUAUGAUGAUGUCGCCUAACUGCCCUGGGACAAUGGACAGGCAGCCAGAGACAGGCAACUAGGACAUACAUGCUACACCUCUGGCCGCCUAAGACAGGCACAGGACCAACUGCUGUCCUGCAAGCCCAUGAUGGGUAAGGCCCGGUUGGGUUCAUGUAAAGAGGUCCUUGACCCAAGACAGGCACUGUCCUCACAGGGCCUGCCAUACUCCUGAUUAAAAAAUAUAGAAAGGGAGGAGAUGUAGGGAGCAGUGCGACCGCCCCACUGCUGUCUCCCUGCCUCUCUCAUAUGGGCACAUAAUGCGCCUGCCUACAUUAACCAUAAUCCUCUCCUACUCAAGUCAUGUACACAGACGUGAUGAUGACCCAUCAGUGAUCACCCCGCAGCCUCUUCCUGUCCCACCGGCCCACCCUUGCCCUAUAAAAGCUGCAACCACUUCCUCAAUAAAUGAGACUUGAUUGGACUUCC